ensembl:ncRNA F16F9.8 ncRNA
AAACACCUUGCUGUGCGUCUUCUAUCUUUCCUACUUGUUACCUUGAAACACCCAAAUUCACUUACUAGCCCUUACUGGCCCUCAGAUUGACCGAUCUUAUCGCACUUUUUGUUAUUUCCUUCUGUUUAGCAUUCAA